rnacentral:rRNA from 1 species
CCGAAAGGCGGGAGUGCCCGCAAGGGAGCGCGGAGACAGGUGGUGCAUGGCUGUCGUCAGCUCGUGUCGUGAGAUGUUGGGUUAAGUCCCGCAACGAGCGCAACCCUCACCCCUUGUUGCUACCAGGUAAAGCUGGGCACUCUAGGGGAACUGCCCCGGUCAACGGGGAGGAAGGCGGGGAUGACGUCAAGUCAUCAUGCCCCUUACGUCCUGGGCUACACACGUGCUACAAUGGCCGGUACAAAGGGAUGCCACACCGUGAGGUAGAGCUAAACCCAAAGAGCCGGUCUAAGUUCAGAUUGGGGUCUGCAACUCGACUCCAUGAAGGAGGAAUCGCUAGUAAUCGCGUAUCAGCACGACGCGGUGAAUACGUUCCCGGGCCUUGUACACACCGCCCGUCACACCACGAAAGCCAG